AUUGAACGCUGGCGGCAGGCUUAACACAUGCAAGUCGAGCGGGGAAGGGUAGCUUGCUACCUAACCUAGCGGCGGACGGGUGAGUAAUGCUUAGGAAUCUGCCUAUUAGUGGGGGACAACAUUCCGAAAGGAAUGCUAAUACCGCAUACGCCCUACGGGGGAAAGCAGGGGAUCUUCGGACCUUGCGCUAAUAGAUGAGCCUAAGUCAGAUUAGCUAGUUGGUGGGGUAAAGGCCUACCAAGGCGACGAUCUGUAGCGGGUCUGAGAGGAUGAUCCGCCACACCGGGACUGAGACACGGCCCAGACUCCUACGGGAGGCAGCAGUGGGGAAUAUUGGACAAUGGGCGCAAGCCUGAUCCAGCCAUGCCGCGUGUGUGAAGAAGGCCUUUUGGUUGUAAAGCACUUUAAGCGAGGAGGAGGCUACUUGGAUUAAUACUCUAGGAUAGUGGACGUUACUCGCAGAAUAAGCACCGGCUAACUCUGUGCCAGCAGCCGCAGUAAAAC
rnacentral:rRNA from 1 species